GCCCGAGUGGCGGAAUCGGCAGACGCGUCGGCUUUAGGAGCCGAUGGGGGAAACCCCGUGUGGGUUCAAGUCCCACCCCGGGCA
rnacentral:tRNA from 1 species